rnacentral:misc_RNA from 1 species
GAAAUGCGAUAACUAGUGUGAAUUGCAGAAUUCCGUGAAUCAUCGAGUCUUUGAACUCACAUUGCGCCCCCUGGUAUUCCGGGGGGCAUGCCUGUCCGAGCGUCAUUGCUGCCCAUCAAGCACGGCUUGUGUGUUGGGUCGUCGUCCCCUCUCCGGGGGGGACGGGCCCCAAAGGCAGCGGCGGCACCGCGUCCGAUCCUCGAGCGUAUGGGGCUUUGUCACCCGCUCUGUAGGCCCGGCCGGCGCUUGCCGAACGCAAAUCAAUCUUUUUCCAGGUUGACCUCGGAUCAGGUAGUGAUACCCGCUGAACUUAAGC